GACGAACGCUGGCGGCGUGCCUAAUACAUGCAAGUCGAACGCUGAAGAGAGGAGCUUGCUCUUCUUGGAUGAGUUGCGAACGGGUGAGUAACGCGUAGGUAACCUGCCUUGUAGCGGGGGAUAACUAUUGGAAACGAUAGCUAAUACCGCAUAACAAUGGAUGACACAUGUCAUUUAUUUGAAAGGGGCAAUUGCUCCACUACAAGAUGGACCUGCGUUGUAUUAGCUAGUAGGUGAGGUAAUGGCUCACCUAGGCGACGAUACAUAGCCGACCUGAGAGGGUGAUCGGCCACACUGGGACUGAGACACGGCCCAGACUCCUACGGGAGGCAGCAGUAGGGAAUCUUCGGCAAUGGGGGCAACCCUGACCGAGCAACGCCGCGUGAGUGAAGAAGGUUUUCGGAUCGUAAAGCUCUGUUGUAAGUCAAGAACGGGUGCGAGAGUGGAAAGUUCACACUGUGACGGUAGCUUACCAGAAAGGGACGGCUAACUACGUG
rnacentral:rRNA from 1 species